AUGCUGGGGCCACCCUGGGUCCCCAGGCAGGUGACCUCACACCCUCCCCACGGGUUCCCCUCAGCUCCUGCCCAGGCCUCCACUAAGGGCCAUGCUCUGCCGGGAGUGCAAGGGCCCUACCUGGUAUUUCCCCGGGUUCCUGGCUUUAACCUUCUCGAUGUCCAGCAAAUGCAACCACACCUGUCCCCGCACCUGGGGAAGGACUCCCUUAUAGGCCCGAUGACGCAGCUGCAGGAAGGAAGGCAGUGCUGCCCUGAAGAAGCCAUCAGGACUGUGGAGGCCCUGGCCUGGGGGGUGUCAGUGAGGAGCACCCCUCUGGCCUCGCCCCAGACCAGAUUGUCCUUCUAUGGAAAGGAAGCCACUGUCCCCGUGCCCUUCGCCCUCUGGAUCCCCUGCUGGACGGACUGGACCCACCCUCUGAAUGCAGGAGGCAGACACCCGGCCCUCCCUGAAGCAGGCCUGGAGGCCACUCCUCUGAGUGCCCAGGGGCCUGCCCCAAGGCCCAGCGCCAUUCCUGCCCACUUCCCGGGUUUGCCUUCUGGGUCCCUCAGUUCCAGCCCAGCAUAGACAUGGCCCUCAGAGGGUUCCAGGGGACAAGAUCCUGACCUGGGGGGAUGGGUCAGCCCCCAGAGAGGCAUUCUUGCAAAUGCAAACCACCCCUGAGAUGGACGAAGGGGUGUCCAGGGGACUCACUGCAGAAAGCCGUGGCCUUCCACAGCGACUGGUCAGCAUCAUCCCAACAGUCCCGUGGAAACCUGCUUGGCGUGCCUGAGACAGACGGGGCCCCGUGGUGGGGGCCGGUCAGAUUUAGGAACAUGGGGAAAAGAGGGAACAGAAUGGCUCCUCUCUCCCCUGAAUCCUGAGGCAGCCCAGGACCCUCUGAGACUGGCCCGGCACGAGAGGAAGGGCCUGUCUGCCCAAUGGGAGCAGCCUGACAGCCUCACCUGCUUCUACCAGCGACGAUCCCCACCUGGGCCUGACCUGACCUGGUGACUGUGGUCCCCACCUGGGCCUCGCUGCUCCUCUGCCCAUGAUCCCCACCUGGGCUCAUCUGCUACCGAUGAUUAUGAUCCAGGCUGGACCCUCACUUGCUACUGAUGCCCAGGAGCGUCCCCAGGGUCUCACGUGUUCCUGAUGACUAUGGUCCUUGUCUGGACUGUCUGGCUCAUCCUUGGCUCUGAUCCCCACCUGCGUCUCACCUGACUCUGAUGCCUCCAGUAUUUUCCUGAGGCUCUGCGCCUCCUGUUUUCAUUUCUGCCUGGGCCUUACCUGCUCAGCUUAGAUUCGGAUCCCUGAUUAGGUCUCACCUAUACUUGCUGGCUAAAACACCCAUCUGGACAUUGGGUGCUUCUGAGGACUAUGAUCUCCACCUGGGCUUUACCUGCUCCUACUGGCAGCAAUUCCCACUUGGGUCUCAUCUGCUGGACUCUGGCUAUGAUCCCCACCUGGCACGUAACUGCUGUUGCUGCUUAUGAUAACAUUUGGGCCAUAUCGGCUCCUACAUACCUGGCUAUGAUCAUCGCCUGGGCCUCACCUGGACCUGGUGACUAUGAUCCCCAUCCCUGGGCUCAUCUACUGCCGAUGAUUAUGAUCCAGGAUGGACCCUCACUUGCUACUGAUGUCCAGGACUGUCCCCAGGGUCUCACUUGUUCUUGAUGAUAUGGUCCUUGUCUGGGCUGACCUGGCUCAUCCUUGACUCUGAUCCCCAACUGGGUCUCACCUAUUUUGCAGGUAUGGUCCCCACCUCUAGUGGGUGUUCUAGCAUCUGUGGUACCUCUCUGGGCCUCACCUGAUGGUAUUUGGCUAUUAUAUCAGCCCUUUCCAAGGCCAGCAGGGUCUCCAGGUCCUCUUGCAUGGUGCUGCAAAGCAAACACAUCCAACUAUGAUACUGCAUGCAAACCUUCAGAGAACACGUGGGUCUGUCUGCUUCCUGUUGGCAGAUCCCCAUCUGUCUGCCCAGAGCAUGGAGACAACCCUACAGCUCUGAGGGGGACAUGCUGGGCUGGCGGAUACACACGGGCACCCCAUUCUCUGUAGCUCGCCCACCUACAGAUCACCCUCCCAGCCACUGUCCCAGGACAUGCUACAUGGCAGUUUUUAGAAAUAGACAAAACAACCCUAACAUUCAUAAGCCGCCACAAAUGACCCUGGAGAGCAAAAACAUUAUUGAUGAAGAACAGAGCUGGACACAGCACUUUCCAUUUCAAAGUAUGUUACAGAGUCACAGAAUUAAAACAGUCUGGUUCUAGGGCACCUGGCUGGCUCAGUUGGUUAAGUGUCUGACUCUUGAUCUCAACUCAGGUUUUUUUUGUCUUGUUCCUGAUCUUAAAAGCAUGCAACUUUGCACCAUGGAGUAUGAUGUUUGCUGUGGGCUUGACAUAUAUGGUCUUUUUUUUUAAUAAUAAAUUUAUUUUUUAUUGGUGUUCA
rnacentral:lncRNA from 1 species